GUGUUGUAGGAAUAGAGAUAAGGUUAGCACUCCCCAUGAUAAGGAUGGAAGAGAUCCAUGUGGACUUUACAACGCAUAUACAAUUAAGGCAUUACCACUUACUUCGUGGCUUCUGUCUACCAUUUCCA